UGCGGGGGGGGCAAGCGUUGUUCGGAAUUACUGGGCGUAAAGGGCUCGUAGGCGGCCAACUAAGUCCGACGUGAAAUCCCCAGGCUUAACCUGGGAACUGCGUCGGAUACUGGAUGGCUUGAAUUCGGGAGAGGGAUGCAGAAUUCCAGGUGUAGCGGUGAAAUGCGUAGAUAUCUGGAGGAAUACCGGUGGCGAAGGCGGCAUCCUGGACCGACAUUGACGCUGAUGAGCGAAAGCUAGGGGAGCAAACGGG
rnacentral:rRNA from 1 species